rnacentral:rRNA from 1 species
AGUCGAGCGGACCGACGGGAGCUUGCUCCCUUAGGUCAGCGGCGGACGGGUGAGUAACACGUGGGUAACCUGCCUGUAAGACUGGGAUAACUCCGGGAAACCGGGGCUAAUACCGGAUGCUUGAUUGAACCGCAUGGUUCAAUCAUAAAAGGUGGCUUUUAGCUACCACUUACAGAUGGACCCGCGGCGCAUUAGCUAGUUGGUGAGGUAACGGCUCACCAAGGCGACGAUGCGUAGCCGACCUGAGAGGGUGAUCGGCCACACUGGGACUGAGACACGGCCCAGACUCCUACGGGAGGCAGCAGUAGGGAAUCUUCCGCAAUGGACGAAAGUCUGACGGAGCAACGCCGCGUGAGUGAUGAAGGUUUUCGGAUCGUAAAACUCUGUUGUUAGGGAAGAACAAGUACCGUUCGAAUAGGGCGGUACCUUGACGGUACCUAACCAGAAAGCCACGGCUAACUACGUGCCAGCAGCCGCGGUAAUACGUAGGUGGCAAGCGUUGUCCGGAAUUAUUGGGCGUAAAGCGCGCGCAGGCGGUUUCUUAAGUCUGAUGUGAAAGCCCCCGGCUCAACCGGGGAGGGUCAUUGGAAACUGGGGAACUUGAGUGCAGAAGAGGAGAGUGGAAUUCCACGUGUAGCGGUGAAAUGCGUAGAGAUGUGGAGGAACACCAGUGGCGAAGGCGACUCUCUGGUCUGUAACUGACGCUGAGGCGCGAAAGCGUGGGGAGCGAACAGGAUUAGAUACCCUGGUAGUCCACGCCGUAAACGAUGAGUGCUAAGUGUUAGAGGGUUUCCGCCCUUUAGUGCUGCAGCAAACGCAUUAAGCACUCCGCCUGGGGAGUACGGUCGCAAGACUGAAACUCAAAGGAAUUGACGGGGGCCCGCACAAGCGGUGGAGCAUGUGGUUUAAUUCGAAGCAACGCGAAGAA